rnacentral:rRNA from 1 species
AGAGUUUGAUCAUGGCUCAGAACGAACGCUGGCGGCGUGCUUAACACAUGCAAGUCGAGUGCGCGGUUGUAGCAAUACAACUGGCGCACGGCGCACGGGUGCGUAACACGUGGGUACCUGCCCUUUGGUGGGGAAUAACUCCGCGAAAGCGGAGCUAAUUCCGCAUAAGAUCCGCAAGGAUGAAAGCCGCAAGGCGCCGAUGGAGGGGCCCGCGCCCGAUUAGCUAGUUGGUAGGGUAAUGGCCUACCAAGGCUUUGAUCGGUAGCUGGUCUGAGAGGAUGGCCAGCCACACUGGAACUGAGACACGGUCCAGACUCCUACGGGAGGCAGCAGUGGGGAAUCUUGCACAAUGGGCGAAAGCCUGAUGCAGCGACGCCGCGUGGGGGAUGAAGCAUCUCGGUGUGUAAACCCCUUUCGAUCCGGACGAAACCCCGCAAGGGAUUGACGGUACGGAUAUAAGAAGCCCCGGCUAACUACGUGCCAGCAGCCGCGGUAAGACGUAGGGGGCCAGCGUUGUUCGGAAUUACUGGGUGUAAAGGGUUCGUAGGCGGUGUAGCAAGUCGGGAGUGAAAUCUCUGGGCUCAACCCAGAGGCUGCUUCCGAAACUGCUGUGCUUGAGUGUGGGAGAGGCGCGUGGAAUUGCAGGUGUAGCGGUGAAAUGCGUAGAUAUCUGCAGGAACACCCGUGGCGAAAGCGGCGCGCUGGACCACUACUGACGCUGAGGAACGAAAGCUAGGGGAGCAAACAGGAUUAGAUACCCUGGUAGUCCUAGCCCUAAACGAUCAGGACUUGGGGUGCCACCCGUUCGGGUGUCGUCCCGGAGCUAACGCGUUAAGUCCUGCACCUGGGGAGUACGGUCGCAAGACUGAAACUCAAAGGAAUUGACGGGGCCCGCACAAGCGGUGGAACAUGUGGUUCAAUUCGACGCUACGC